CGGGGAGGGAUCAUUACCGAGUUUACAACUCCCAAACCCAAUGUGAACCAUACCAAACUGUUGCCUCGGCGGGGUCACGCCCCGGGUGCGUCGCAGCCCCGGAACCAGGCGCCCGCCGGAGGGACCAACCAAACUCUUUUCUGUAGUCCCCUCGCGGACGUUAUUUCUUACAGCUCUGAGCAAAAAUUCAAAAUGAAUCAAAACUUUCAACAACGGAUCUCUUGGUUCUGGCAUCGAUGAAGAACGCAGCGAAAUGCGAUAAGUAAUGUGAAUUGCAGAAUUCAGUGAAUCAUCGAAUCUUUGAACGCACAUUGCGCCCGCCAGUAUUCUGGCGGGCAUGCCUGUCCGAGCGUCAUUUCAACCCUCGAACCCCUCCGGGGGGUCGGCGUUGGGGACCUCGGGAGCCCCUAAGACGGGAUCCCGGCCCCGAAAUACAGUGGCGGUCUCGCCGCAGCCUCUCCUGCGCAGUAGUUUGCACAACUCGCACCGGGAGCGCGGCGCGUCCACGUCCGUAAAACACCCAACUUCUGAAAUGUUGACCUCGGAUCAGGUAGGAAUACCCGCUGAACUUAAGCAUAUCAAA
rnacentral:rRNA from 1 species